GUGUUUCUUCUUUUUCCGGAAUUAUAUAUAUAUAGUAAUGUGUUCUAUAAGAAAUAAAUAAGAUACUUUUAAUUAUCUUUCAGACAGAAAAUAAAAAUAAAAAUGACCUAAUGCUUUCUUUCUCUGUUUCCAUUUCGGCUUUUGCAUCAUAUUGUUGCCGAGAAAAUAAGGAAAUGAUGUGAAUCGAAAUCUCACAAAUAUGAUGUGUGGAUGGUUGGGCCAACAAGCAUCAGGUAUCGUUUAAGGUAAAGAAUUUACAUAAUAUAUAAGGUACAUCUAAUUACACUGAUGAAUCCUAUAACGAAAAACUUCCGCCAACACAGCAUACAGCAUGUCAUGAAUCCCAUAAGUAAGGCUAAUCACUCGCACUGAGCAAGAAAAAAUGAUAACGCAAGUUGCAUAGAAUCAUAGAAUACAGUAGCCCGUGAACAAAUUCGUCAUUUGCACAAAAUACAGUGAAAAGAAACAUCCUGAAUAUGAAACUGGCAAAUGCAGACUCGAUGUCGCUGCCUCAACUCAUAACUCAAGCAAUAGCAUCUCACAAGUUGAGAACACCAUAGAUCCUGUGACCCUAAUAAUGGCUCUCAUGAGACUCACUAGUUCCAUAUUGACAGCAAGUUAAUUACUUAAAACCUGAAGAUACAAAUUGGAAAAGUAGACUAAUGCCCAGAUAUUCAGCAAGAACUUAGAUGCCCGCGCUAGAAAAUGUUGGGCGUAUAACCGUGUAUAAAGUGAAAGUACCCUGUCACUAUCAUCAGGCACUUAAUCAGGAUAACAAAUAGCUAAAG